AAACAUGUUUGUAAAAAUGAACUUGUUUAUAAGUCAUGAUGUUUUAAGUGUACUGUCCUAUGGUAUGCUAUUUACCAGGUCUGCUCAGUAAAUAGGGCUCAGUGAGUGAUUCGUUCACUGAAUGUUUAGAAGAAUUCAAACUGAACAUACACCGUUCCCUUGCAAACCGCUGCAAUGAUAGGAUGCUGCGGGUUUAAUGCACUGCUUGUUACAUGCUGUGUCAUAUUGUAUGCAAGUUGAUGUGGUGGCAUUGUAGCAGUAAAAAAGGGGUAGUUUUGUCUCACUAAAAUAAUUCAAAAAUGAAAGUGUAGUUCAGUGUCACCAAGUGAUUUAGGUGUCAGUGCAUGCAGUCCCUCAUUUACCGGCUGCUUGACUGGCAAUGUUGUAUCUGGCUGUGUCCAAAAU